rnacentral:rRNA from 1 species
AAAUUGAAGAGUUUGAUCAUGGCUCAGAUUGAACGCUGGCGGCAGGCCUAACACAUGCAAGUCGAACGGUAACAGAAAGCAGCUUGCUGCUUUGCUGACGAGUGGCGGACGGGUGAGUAAUGUCUGGGAAACUGCCUGAUGGAGGGGGAUAACUAUUGGAAACGGUAGCUAAUACCGCAUAACGUCGCAAGACCAAAGAGGGGGACCUUCGGGCCUCUUGCCAUCGGAUGUGCCCAGAUGGGAUUAGCUAGUAGGUGGGGUAAAGGCUCACCUAGGCGACGAUCCCUAGCUGGUCUGAGAGGAUGACCAGCCACACUGGAACUGAGACACGGUCCAGACUCCUACGGGAGGCAGCAGUGGGGAAUAUUGCACAAUGGGCGCAAGCCUGAUGCAGCCAUGCCGCGUGUAUGAAGAAGGCCUUCGGGUUGUAAAGUACUUUCAGCGGGGAGGAAGGG